rnacentral:tRNA from 1 species
GGAAGCGUGCCUGAAACUAAGGAA